ACUGCUGGUAGUCGGACCUAACCAGUCAUGAGAAGCUCCUUUCAGACUCUUUUUCCCUCUGCUGGAAAAUCAGGAAGUCCAUCAGAGCUUUGACAGUGACUAGGAGCAUAUUCAUGGCUUGGAGAGACACUGUGGGCGUGUAUGUGGUGCGUGGCGGCACUGGACAAGUGCUGUCCAUUGGUAAUCUGGGACUGAGUACUGCCAACUGGGAAUGAUCUGCAGCAAUGACUCAUCACACACAUAAAAAGCCAGAUGCAGUCACCACUCUUCACUGGACCGUUAAACUGUCAAUUCUGGAUCCUUGCCUGGUCUCCAAAACCUGUCUCUGGAAAUCCUCCCUCUGCCCCGUUCAUCGCCUGGAUCACCCGAAAGAACCACACCAUGUUUCCUCCACCCACAGCAUCUGUCUCGUCUCCUCCAUCAUGGCAGCCACACUUCACCUCUGCCCACUUCGCCUUCCCUCAUUUCUACCAGAAGUCUCUACCAGUGAAGUUCCCAAUUCAGUUGCCUAGUGUUAACUUUAGUGUUGUGAAUUUUCCAUGUUGUUCUGUUUCACCAUACCGGCGUGCCGAUUCUAUAGUAUUGUUGUAAGAAUUUGCUUUUGCUGCCGCAGUCAGCACGCCUUUUUAGUUUCGGUUAGAAAGCAGACAUAGACUCCCUUCCAUCAUACAUUUCCUUUCAAUGGACUGAGCAGCAGUCUCAGAGCUGGAGAAACAUUUGAAUGAAUACAAACGCUUCUAGUGUGCUAAGUUACCACUUUUGAACAUGUGUAACUGUGGGAAAUAGUUUCAAGUCUCACUCCCACAUUUGCUCUAUUUCUUCCUUUUGUCUCAUUUUCAAGUUAGAAAUCCUCUUAAGAGAGGUUUUCCAAAAUAACAUUAUCUUCAAACAAACAUUUCACUUUUAAUCAUUGCAUUUUCCUCCCUUAUGAUUCACCGUAGUAUUGCAGACCCUUUUGAAGCUGUUCUUUUUCUGAGUGUCCACUGGGAUUUGCUCCCUCGUGGCCUCUCUGCUUACACCAAAGCUUCUCUUUUCAAACCAGGCUUUGAGUAAAGAAGGAAAAUGGGGAAAAAAGAAACCUCAUAGGAAAAUAGGUGGUGAACUGAUGAACAAUCCACUGGUGCAUACCUGACAGGAAUAGUGAUUCUAUCACUUUGUCUAUUCUGAGUAACACAGAAAUAUGAUUUCUCACUGGACAUUCACAUGUCAGUCAAGAAGUUGGGCUGAUGAGACACACAAAAGCACACACUCGGUUCAUUACACACAACUGUGUGUGCUGCAAUGACCCAACAAGGAGGGCUGAAAAGAGAUACCUUUCUAUUUUUGCACGCUUAAAUUUCUCAGAAAAAAAGUUUCUUCUGGAAAUUUCUCGAUUAUUUUUAAAUGAAACUGUUUUCUUUCUGAGACUGUUUCUCAUAUUUAGAGAUUAGAUCUCUUUGGUCAGUUCCAGAUGGAGAUCCUCAAUGGACCCCAAUGGGGAGGGGAUCAUUGAUCAUUUACUUUUUAUUAUGUUUCAGUGUCAAAUCAAAUUUUCGAUCUUUAAAUUCUUAAAGAUCUAAUUUCUAGUCCCUUAUAGUUUUCUUCAUCGAAGUUUUGGAGUAUCCUGUAUUUUAAAAAAAUAAAUGUAUUCUUGUGUCAAACUUAUAUAUAAAUAAAAAAAAAACAGAAAACACUAGAUAAAUUUCCAUUUAUCUGACCACAUUUCCAUGUAUCUAGAUUUCUGAUCAAACUGAUCCGAUUGCUUUUGAAAUUGAAAAUGAAAUUGCAUGCAGUAAAAAUAAUUAAACACAUUCAAGCAACACAAUAAAACAAGGCGAAUUCAGAUGGAGAUAAAAAAAAACAAGACUGACUGAAAAUACAAUACACAGAAAGAAUCAUGCUAUGCUGUUAAAUACAGAACUGAAAAACAAGACUGACUGAAUAUACAAUACACAGAAAGGACAAUGCUAUACUGUUAAAAACAGAACUACUGAAUAAAUAGAUGGUUCUAAUAGAUUUAAGUAACUUCGAAUUCAAAUGAAUAAGAAUUUGGACUACUGUAUCUGACACUGAUGAAGACAAAGAUCAGCUGACUGUUUAGUUAAAUCUGGCAGUUAGUCUCUCAGGAUAAUAUUUGAAAUGAUUUGUAAAAUUUUCUACAUCAUGAUGUAACUUGGUAGAUAAAAACGAAAAAAAUUCGGCUGGGAAUGAUUUAAAAACUUUAACACAAUCCUGCAUGAACAGAAAUCAGAACAACCACAGUGCGCUCGAUAAACUAGACAUCACCCCAGAUUUACAUUAGCUUUUCCAAGAGCUUUCAGAUACACUCGAGAUUCUUAGAAUCAGCAAAUUAUUUCUGCAAUUCAUUAGCUUAUAAAAGAUACACCGAGUACUGAAAAAGCCAACUUAAUAUUUAUUUUGGUAUGCUAUUAGUUUAAAUUAACUAAAGUUGUAUUCACACUUACUUGAGAAUAUUUUAUUUGUUGCUAUUUAGGCAGGUGGUAUAAGCUGUAAGCAUUUAUGAUAUGUGUAUAUAACUAAGCUAACCAGUAUUCAACAUUUAUUUCAAUUCAGAACUCAUUAUGAUGUGAAGGCCUGAUUGACAACAUAGCAGUGUAAGAAAACAAAAGAUGUUACUGGUAAACAAAAAAUUUUUGAUACAAAAGCAAUAAAGUUAUUUUUAAAAGGCAAAAAAUAAAUUUUGAAUAUCAUAAAACUAUGAAGAAUACAUUUGCAAGACUUUAAAAGCUCAAACAAGUAAACCAACAGCUGGGGGUAAAAUAAAAUGAGGAUAACAGCUUCAACUGCUUAAAUGGUUAAAAUGAAUUCAGGUUGUUCUGAAUGUUACUCCAGUUUGCAGAUACACACUCAGUACAGCAACAUUUUCCAAGCUUGCUAAUAGCAGUGGACACUUCCAAUGUAAUCUAGCCAUUUUAGCGUGUGUAAUGAGGUUUUCAUUAAAAGACAACAAAAGUAAAGCAAAGUAAUGGGGAAAAAAUCAGAUGGUAAGACUAUCAUAAUUAAUAUUUUGGCCUUGCUGAAAAUCUUUAUUUAUUUUAUUUAACCUUUAUAUAACCGGGUGAGUUGAGAACUGAUUCUUAUUUUCAAUAACAACCUUGUCAUGAGGCAGCACACAAACAGAUUGCAUGCACAGCAAAUCACACAAUAUUACAAAAUAAAAAAUUAUGCAAUGUCUGGUAAAAUAGAAAGGCUAAAAACAGGUGCAGUGGUCCUGAAGUGUUACUCUGGAUUUUUUAAAUGACAAGAGCGAUACAUAUGAAGUGAGUUUUAGGGAGUGUUUCAGAGAGUUCCAGUCAUUAGCAGGAGAAAAAUGGAAUUAGGAUUGACUGGGUGUGGUACGGACUUUAGGAAUGUGGAGGUUAAUGAGACUGCUAGAACAAAGAGUACAGGUGGAGUUAUGAAUGAUAAGUAAUGAAUGCAGAUAUGGUGGUGUUUUGCCAAUGAGGGUUUUUUAGAUGUACAGAAACCAGUGUAAUUGUCUGUGGGAGUCACGAGAGGGCCAGUUCACCAUUGAGUACAAACUGUAGUGGUGGGUGUUGCAAGGAGCUCUGGCAGCAAAGCGGUUGGCAAAGUGGUAGAUAGUGUCUUGGUAUUACCAUGUGCGACUUGUAACUCAGCAAAACAGUGGAUAGGUUAUGAAUGUUAAGGUGGCGACGCGGACGGACGCAGCGACUCUUGGCUCCUUGUGUCGGUGCUUUUUAUUGUUGUUUCUGUGUGAAUGCGUAUGUGUGAAUGGAAACAGGCGUUCCUACACUCAAGACCACCUACUGGCUGUAGGAAUGACUUGUUGCAUGGACGUUACGACCGAGUUUCAACAGUAUCACAUCCCAGAGGACAUUGCCAGAACACCGGGCUCUCCCUGGCUCAUCCUCAGACAUGUGAAGCGGCGGUGCCGGCAGAGGAAUAGGAAGCAUAAGUGGGGAUGCAGAGCGGGACUGCUGGCUAGGCUAGCACGACAACCACACAAACCACCAAGCUUCUUCCUAACCAACACCAGGUCCGUCGUUCACAAAACAGACGAGCUUUAACUACUGCUAGCCAACAACAAAGCCAUCGGGGACUGCAGCGCCAUUAUUAUCAAGGAAUCGUGGCUACACCCACUCAUUCCCGAUGCUGCUGUUCAGCUAACAGGCCGCAACCUGCACCGUCAUGACCGCAACGUUGACUCAGAGCAGAGGAGGGGGACUUUGCAACUAUACACACAAUGACUGGUGCACAAACAGCAGAACUAUAUACACCCACUGCUGUCCAGACUUGGAGUUCAUUUCAGUCAUGUGUAGACCCUUUAAUUUGCCGUGGGAGUUCAGUGUGGUGGUCAUAGCAGCAGUUGACAUUCCACCUGAUGCUAAUGUUAGCUUAGCCCUCUCGUACCAUCAUCAAUAAGCAGAUGCGGGAUCACCCAGAUGGAGCCUUUGUUGUUGCCGGGGACUUUAACCCGCGCUACCCUAAAAACGCUCUGGAGCGGAAAUCUUGUUGCGCCGCUGUAAUCAAAACAAAGCAGGAAAAUGAAGCGUAAGAGAGUCUCCCUUUAAACUUGUGCUGAAAGUGCAGAUUUUGAACUUUCUACCAGUUUUUGAAUCAUUUGUAUCGGCCAAGUAAAACCAGAGAUAUGAUCAAUAAUUAACGCCACAUUUUUUACCGAACUUCACCUGAGCGUAUUUCCAGCGUCUUUUAUGCAUGGCGAAACUUUGAACUUUGGACUCAGUGGAGAGGCUCUCUGCUGAGAGCCUGGUUGGAAACACCAUAGACAUAUAUACGUAGACGCCUCAUUGACUGCGGCUGCCCACUCGAGCGAUGUGCCUGCAGCGCCGCCAUCUUGGAC